rnacentral:rRNA from 1 species
UACGAAGGGGGGCUAGCGUUGCUCGGAAUCACUGGGCGUAAAGGGUGCGUAGGCGGGUCUUUUAAGUCAGGGGGUGAAAUCCUGGAGCUCAACUCCAGAACUGCCUUUGAUACUGAAGAUCUUGAGUUCGGGAGAGGUGAGUGGAACUGCGAGUGUAGAGGUGAAAUUCGUAGAUAUCAGGAGGAACACCGGUGGCGAAGGCGGUUCCCUGGGCUAAGACUGACGCUGAGGUGCGAAAGCGUGGGGAGCGAAACGGG